rnacentral:rRNA from 2 species
GCGAAAAGAACCCCGGCGAGGGGAGUGAAAAAGAACCUGAAACCGUGUACGUACAAGCAGUGGGAGCACGCUUAGGCGUGUGACUGCGUACCUUUUGUAUAAUGGGUCAGCGACUUAUAUUCUGUAGCAAGGUUAACCGAAUAGGGGAGCCGAAGGGAAACCGAGUCUUAACUGGGCGUUAAGUUGCAGGGUAUAGACCCGAAACCCGGUGAUCUAGCCAUGGGCAGGUUGAAGGUUGGGUAACACUAACUGGAGGACCGAACCGACUAAUGUUGAAAAAUUAGCGGAUGACUUGUGGCUGGGGGUGAAAGGCCAAUCAAACCGGGAGAUAGCUGGUUCUCCCCGAAAGCUAUUUAGGUAGCGCCUCGUGAAUUCAUCUCCGGGGGUAGAGCACUGUUUCGGCAAGGGGGUCAUCCCGACUUACCAACCCGAUGCAAACUGCGAAUACCGGAGAAUGUUAUCACGGGAGACACACGGCGGGUGCUAACGUCCGUCGUGAAGAGGGAAACAACCCAGACCGCC